rnacentral:rRNA from 1 species
GAUGAACGCUGGCGGCGUGCCUAAUACAUGCAAGUCGAGCGAACAGACGAGGAGCUUGCUCCUCUGACGUUAGCGGCGGACGGGUGAGUAACACGUGGAUAACCUACCUAUAAGGCUGGGAUAACUUCGGGAAACCGGAGCUAAUACCGGAUAACAUGUUGAACCGCAUGGUUUAACAGUGAAAGACGGUCUUGCUGUCACUUAUAGAUGGAUCCGCGCCGCAUUAGCUAGUUGGUAAGGUAACGGCUUACCAAGGCAACGAUGCGUAGCCGACCUGAGAGGGUGGAUCGCCACAAGUGGAAUGGCAACAGGGCCAGACCACCACGGGGAGGAGAAAGUGGGAAUUCUCCGACAUGGGGGGAAGGCCGGAGGGAACACCGCGGGGGGAGUAAAAAAGUCUUCGGGAUGGAAAAAUCUUUUAAUAGGGAAAAAAAAAGUUGGAAAGAAUAGUUGCACGUCUUGACGGUACCAAACAAGAAAGCCACGGCUAACUACGUG